rnacentral:RNase_P_RNA from 1 species
CGAGUCGGCUGGGCGGUCGCGUCGGCAUCCUUCACCGGGUGCCGCCGAGGAACGUCCGGACUCCGUAGAGCAGGGUGGUUGUUAACGGCAACCCGGGGUGACCCGCGGGAAAGUGCCACAGAGAACAGACCGCCGGCACACGCUUCGGCGUGGAGCCGGUAAGGGUGAAACGGUGAGGUAAGAGCUCACCAGCACCCCGGGUGACCGGGGUGGCUAGGUAAACCCCACCCGGAGCAAGGCCAAGCAAGGUCACUGCCGCGAGGUGGUGGCCGGCGCAGGCGUUCGAGGGCUGCUCGCCCGAGCCUGCGGGUAGGCCGCAAGAGCACGCCGGCAACGGCGCGCCGAGAUGGAUGACCGCCUCCGGGCCCUCGGGCCCGGGACAGAAUCCGGCGUACCGGCCGACUCGUCCG